GGGUGGCCCCUAUUUCAUUAUGACUGGUGUGCUUAUAAAAGGAUACCCUGUGAAAAGGCAGAUAUACACAGGGAGAACGUCACGUGAAGAUGAAAGCUGAUUAUUAGGAUGAUGUUUUUACAAGUCAAGUAACACUAAAGAUAACCAGCAAACCACCAGAAGCUAGGUGGAGAAGCUUGGAACAUACUCUUUCCCACAAUCUUCUAAAGGAACCACGCCAGCUGACAUCUUGAUUCUGGAAUUCUAGCCUCCAAAAUGGUGAAGUAAUACAGUUCUCUUGUUUGAACUAUUCAGUUUGAGAAGCCUUUUUGUGGAAGAGUAGAUGGAAGAAUCACAUGACAAGAAUUAUUUGCAACCCCCAACUGGAAUACAUUCUGAUACAACCAUGGUUUUGCUGCUCCCACUUUGCCUUCAUUCCCUGACAGAAAGUUUUUCAUUCUCAGGUGAAGAAAUAAGAGACAUAUCUUUCAAAAGUGCACUGCAAACAAAUGGAAGAAUUGGGACUUGAACUCAUGCAGGCUGGUUCAACAUUUCAAGCUUUUAACCACUACAAAAUUUUAUACCAAUUUAAGAGUCAUUUCCUUGAUUCCUGAUAACUUUCCAGCACACAUUUCUCAUUCUAAGACAAGCCCAGCUGUGCUUUUUUCUAUUGAGUUUCAAAAGAUAUCCUUCUGAGCUUACAGUAAAUAGUUCUGUGCUAUCAAAAAUGCUCUAAUGAAGAUGACAAGAAAGACUGUACCAAGGUCUGCUUAUCUCUUUGUCGUGCCUUCUUUAAACCUUAGUGCAAUAGAGAGAUAUUCAUACUGAGUGGAAGUCUUCCUCUGGGAAGAAAAUAUUUAACUUAGAACUAGAGGCAACAAAUAACGUGCAUUUCCAGAAACCAGCAUUGAGUCAAUCAACAGUGAUGCCUUCUGGGAAACAAUAUAAAUAAACUGAGAUUUCUUUUUACAAAACU